rnacentral:rRNA from 1 species
GAUGAACGCUGGCGGCGUGCCUAAUACAUGCAAGUCGAGCGAACGGACGAGGAGCUUGCUCCUUUGACGUUAGCGGCGGACGGGUGAGUAACACGUGGAUAACCUACCUAUAAGACUGGGAUAACUUCGGGAAACCGGAGCUAAUACCGGAUAAUAUAUUGAACCGCAUGGUUCAAUAGUGAAAGACGGUUUUGCUGUCACUUAUAGAUGGAUCCGCGCCGCAUUAGCUAGUUGGUAAGGUAACGGCUUACCAAGGCAACGAUGCGUAGCCGACCUGAGAGGGUGAUCGGACACACUGGAACCGAGACACGGUCAAGACUCCUACGGGAGGCAGCAGUAGGGAAUAUUCUGCAAUGAGCGCAAGCCUGACGGAGCACCCCCGCGCGCGUUAUGAAGGUCUUCGGAUCGUAAAACUCUGUUAUUAGGAACAAACAAAUGUCUAAGGAAAUAUUCGCGUCUAGACGGUAACCAAUCAGAAAGGCACAGCUAACUACGUG